rnacentral:tRNA from 1 species
GGAGGUAUAAGUUAAGUUUAAACUGUAUGGUUCAUGUUCAUGUAAUACGGGUAUCGUUUCCUCCU